CCCUCGUGCCUCUGUGGGACCCUCCCUUGGGCCGCGUGCUGGCAGCCGCCGGGAAGCCGCAGGUGGGAGGGCUUCCGACCUGGAAACACACAAUUUCGGUUCUGGCGAAUUUUCCCGGGAUUGCUGGCUGGUGCCGCCUGCGUUCCAUGGUCCUCGCUCUCCGCUCCGGACUCCCGUUGGCCGAGCCCCGGCCCUUCCGCCGGCCUCACGGUUCCCCACGCUUCCCUCCCUGUGUCUGGCCUUGCUGCGGAGCUGUACUUUCUGGCGGCUUCCCCAAACAUCGCAGCCCACGGGCCCUUCCUCGGUUCCAGGCCUGCUCGUGUGUCGUCAGUGCCGUGUGACCGAGUGCACCCGCGUCCUGCCCGCGGUGCCUCUCGGAGCACAGGAAACGGGGCCUCGUGUGCAGGCUGCGCAUACCGGGGGCCCCCUGGCCCAGAGACCAGGUUUCAGUCUCUCUGGAGAACAACCCGGGUCCACCCGGGGAAGGGGGAGGCGGCCCCCCGUGUGGAUGUGGGGAGAAGAUUCUCGAACUGGGUGGCGCCCACGGGGCCGGAGCUCCCGGCUCCCGGGCUCUGGAUCAGGCCCGCCUUGGCUUCCCUCUCCGCCGACUCGAGUCCCCCCGCGCUCUGGUCUGUCUGCUUUUCGUUCUGCUGCCUGCUCUGGUUUGUUUUACAGAAUGUUUGUGCUGAUUUCUACAAAAGUAGGUGUGCUUUCCCACUGCACCUCCCCCUGGCUGGGUUAGUGCCAACGACACCAGUUCUCUUUCUUUAUGACACCCCGGACCAGGUAUGUGAUGAAAACAAAACGUCCGUUUGCCACACUCUUUGUUGUUUCAGCCACCCGUGGAGUGGGGGCGGGUCCCCAGCACUCCCUGGGGCUCGGGAGAAAGUGCACACGUGUGCCCUGUUUGUGUCUGGGUGCUCCCAGCGUGGAGAACGCGGCAAACGCCUCCCACCGGUUUCCGCCGGACGAUGGGACCUCAGGCCGCGUGGAUCUGUCCUUCGUGUUUUCACGUUUGUCCCAGGCAGCUUCUGCUCUGGGACCGUGCGGGCGUGGCCGGCCUGUUCCUGCCUCUCUUCAGAAGCGGGCGGGCCGUCUGAGGUCUGGGCCGGUAAGCGGGAGACAGAGGCGGGAGAAGACACUUGCAUUUCCAGAUGUCACGACCAAGCUGACCUCCCGCAGCCAAACGGGUGUGGGCUCCUUGCAGGCUGGGGCCCUGAGGUGCGACGGCCUGAGCACGGCCUGGUACUCUGGACAGCUCGCGGGAGACCCGCUGCCCCUGGUGACCCCGGCGUAGCUGCGUCUACCCCUCCUCGGGCUCUGCGCGUCCCUCCGGCACCCCCCUGCCGGACAUUGUCCUGGUGCCCGGCUCCUCCGCCCUCGCCAGCGGGUCCCUUGUCCUCCAGGCCAGGGCACGUCAAGCAGAAGAGAGGGGGGAAUCUGCAUCUAGAGGUCCGGCCCAAGACUGACACCCGCUUAUUUGGGCGUCGGGGGUGA
rnacentral:lncRNA from 1 species